CUCCUACGGGAGGCAGCAGUAGGGAAUCUUCGGCAAUGGACGAAAGUCUGACCGAGCAACGCCGCGUGAGUGAUGAAGGCUUUCGGGUCGUAAAACUCUGUUGUUAGGGAAGAACAAGUGCUAGUUGAAUAAGCUGGCACCUUGACGGUACCUAACCAGAAAGCCACGGCUAACUACGUGCCAGCAGCCGCGGUAAUACGUAGGUGGCAAGCGUUAUCCGGAAUUAUUGGGCGUAAAGCGCGCGCAGGUGGUCUCUUAAGUCUGAUGUGAAAGCCCACGGCUCAACCGUGGAGGGUCAUUGGAAACUGGGAGACUUGAGUGCAGAAGAGGAAAGUGGAAUUCCAUGUGUAGCGGUGAAAUGCGUAGAGAUGUGGAGGAACACCUGUGGCGAAGGCGCCUUGCUGGCCUAUUUCUGACGCUGAGGCGCGAAAGCGUGGGGAGCAAACAGGAUUAGAUACCCUGGUAGUCCACGCUGUAAACGAUGAGUGCUAGGUGCAGGUGGGCUCAUACCCAUCUGUGCCGAAGCUAACGCAUUAAGCACUCCGCCUGGGGAGUACGGUCGCAAGACUGAAACUCAAAGGAAUUGACGGGGGCCCGCACAAGCAGUGGAGCAUGUGGUUUAAUUCGAAGCAACGCGAAGAACCUUACCAGGACUUGACAUCCCAUAGACCAGUCUAGAGAUAGACUUUCCCUUCGGGGCUGUGGUGACAGGUGGUGCAUGGUUGUCGUCAGCUCGUGUCGUGAGAUGUUGGGUUAAGUCCCGCAACGAGCGCAACCCUUACUUUGUGUUGCCAGCAUUCAGUUGGGCACUCACAAGGGACUGCCGCCGAUAAGGCGGAGGAAGGUGGGGAUGACGUCAAAUCAUCAUGCCCCUUAUGUCCUGGGCUACACACGUGCUACAAUGGGCGGUACAACGGGAUGCGAAGCCGCGAGGUGGAGCCAAACCCUGAAAACCGUUCGUAGUUCGGAUUGUAGGCUGCAACUCGCCUACAUGAAGCCGGAAUUGCUAGUAAUCGCGGAUCAGCAUGCCGCGGUGAAUCCGUUCCCGGGCCUUGCACACACCGCCCGU
rnacentral:rRNA from 1 species